rnacentral:tRNA from 1 species
CACUGGAUAGCUCAGAUGGGUAGAGCGUCGGAUUCAGAUUCCGAUUGUCGCGGGUUCAAAUCCCGCUCCGGUAU